rnacentral:lncRNA from 1 species
GAUGGAAGGGAUAUGAUGGUCAUCCACACACUGCCAAGUGGUUGGUUUUUGGGAGGAACGGUGCCAUAUUGAGUCUUAGCAUCGAGAGCUGUCUAAUGGAAUAAUAACCCCCAUUCCCUAUAGAUGUGCUGGAAAAUGUGCCAACUACAUUCCCCUGGCUGUCCCAUGUUGCAGUAUCAGUGAAGACCAACGGGAAGAAGUGAGGGGACUGAGGCUGAAGUCUGAGUCAAGGCACAUCCAUGUUAUACCUACGUGAAUGAAGACUUCUGGGACUUGUCAAUAAAGAAAUGUCUAAAAUAAGAGUUCAGACAAAGAGAAUUUGAAGUGGGUCCAGGAGGUUUCCUAUAGAUAUACAAAUUUCAUAUUUCAAUUUCCUGCUAAGAAGUGGAAGACUGAUCUGAAAUCCAUUUAUUUGCUCAAAGUCUGUGCAGUGUGCCAAGUAUUGAACAGAAUCCUUCAGAAGUUUCAGAUCAACACCAGGCUAUUGCACAUCUCCUCAUCCUUGUUUGUAAGGCUGUGUUACAAAGAACAGUCUGAACUCUGUUCAAAAACCAGCAGAGUGUCUGGGACCAAGGAAUGAGUAGGCCCAGAAUAAACAGAUCCAGAGAUUGCAAAGAAUACUAAAAACAAACAGGCAUUGUGAACACUGCAAUCAAUUACUCAGGGCUGUUCAUUUCCAUCACACUAAGCAAUCACAACACACUAUUUAGGGCUCUUCACUGAAGAAUAAGCUUAUUUGCUUAAGAACAGACAACACUAUACCAUACCUGUCAAUUAGCCACUCAGUUAAUGACCUGUGACACUUUGGGAACAAGAAAAUACUUACUUCUUUCUAACGACUGGUUGCUUUAUUUUUGGUAAAACAAAUGCAUUUUUCAUGUUGCUGUAAAGAUAAAUCAGGAAAUUUCUUGAAUACAUGGCUUUCUUAAUACGAGAAUACUAGGCUUCAGAAAGGUUUUCUAAAUUUAAUUGAAAAAAACCCUCUAUUUUGAUACCUGGUAAUAUGCUCUCUGAAAUAUAGUGUAAAUCCAACAUAUAGAAGUGAAAAAAGAAAACAAAGAAAUGAGAUUAUGGGUUAGGGAACACAGGCCAAAUUGUAGAGUGUCUAAAAAAGAAAAAAAAUGUUGUAACUAAGUUUGUCAAUGUUAUACCCUGGUUUAUGCUGCUAUUUUUAUUCAGCCAAAAUGGGAACUCUUCGGUAAAACCAGACCACUUAAUUAUAUAAAGCUGAUCUGUACUGAUUCUGUGAUACAAUCCAGGAGUAUGUAGGUAAUGACACCUUCCACUAUUUAAGUUAUUAUUAAUUUUGCUUUAAAAUUAUAAUUCUCUAUUUUUCUGGUUAUCGCAUUUAUGUUUGAGAAGUUGACCAUCAUUGUGAUUUGAAGUAUUUACUUUUGUUAUAUAAAAUUUUGUAGUUAAAAGGGAGUUCAAAAGAUAUCUGAACAAAUCUAUCAUCUUACAAAUCAGUGUACUUUGGCCGAGAAAAAUUAAGUGAGCUGUCCAAGAUCAUACAACUUUUUUUUUUUUUGAGACCAAGUCUCUCUCUGUCACCCAGGCUAGAGUACAGUGGCCUGAUCUCCACUCACUGCAACCUCUGCCACCCUGAUUCCAGAGAUUCUCCUGCCUCAGCCUCCCAAGUAGCUGGGACUACAGGUGCUCACCACCAUGCCAGCCUAAUUUAAAUUUUUAGUUUUAGUAGAGAUGGGAUUUCACCACAUUGGCUAGCCUGGUCUCGAACUCCUGACCUCAGGUGAUCUGCCCUCCUCGGCCUCCCAAAAUGUUGAGAUUGCAUGAGAGUCACCACCCCUACCACCCCAAGAUCAUACAACUCUAAAAUGAUGAAAUCAAAACUAAAAAUUGGAUCUAAUUGGCCCUUUUGUGUUAUUAAAUGCCCUGGCAUAAUUCACUGAAUACCUUAUGGACUGGCUACCCUGAUAGCUUUUAAACAUCCAACAUUAAUUAAUAUGGUGGGGUGUUAUCAAUGAUAUAAAAUCUGGCAUCUACACCCAAAGAUUGGAAAUAUUUCCUGGAUGAGUCUGUGUGGGCAGUGAAAGACAUUCCUUCUCAGGGGCACUUAAGAAAUAAACAAAAGAUUCUCCCAACAGUAGAUCUUUAAACAUUACAUUUCAAGGUUUACUCUGCCUGAGUAGGAGGUUAACUAGAGGUAGGAUUUGCAAUAAUUUAUAGGUAGUUGGCAAGUUACACUACAUAAUUUGUACUGCCCAGUGCAAAAUAAAAAUGUGGGACUGUUUGCUUAGUACCUCAUUAUUAAAUAUGCAAAAAUGUAACAUUCUUCUUUAAAACAAUUUGUUACUGAUAAAACAUAAUAGGUAUACCGGUGAUACGUGAGAAACAAUAUUAAUUUAUAAAUUGUAAAUAUGUUUUAUAGUUGUAGCAAUUUUUACACAUUUUACAGUUUUUCUAUGUAUAAUGCCAUAAAUAACAAUAACUUCUCACUGUAAAAUAUUUAUUGACCAUAAGAUUUUUUUCUCAUUUUUCUAUAAAUUUGCUUGGUAAAUUAUCAAAAUUUAUAGUUAUCACCACUUUAUUUACAAUUUAUAUGAUUGAAAAUAACUUCAGUUGCUCUUGAUAAAUGCAAGAUCUCAAAUAAUUUUGAUAAUUUUUAAUUUUGAGAAGAAAUUUUUUUCUGUUGCUGAAAAUUUCUGGAACUAUUGAGAGUAUUUCAUAAGGUGUGACAGGGAUGAAAUGUUUUUGACAAAUCAUUUUGAAAUAUAUAUUUUAGUACCUCUAGACCUGAUAUUUCUCACAUUUCUUCUAAAAAGAUUUAACUCUUCAUAGAAGUCAGUUUUGUGUAAGUCUGAAUUUAAUUUAAAUGAGAAUUUAUGCAAAAACAUUUUAAUGUUUCCUCUGAUAACUCCUAUAACUGUGGAGGUCAUAGAAGAAACACUUCUAUGAAGAAAGCAACUUUCUUCUGAAGAGAGCAACUUCAUGAUUUGUACAUAAUUCAAAAUGCCUGUUUAUGAAAUAUAUCACUGUAUCCCAAAUCUCAUAUAAAAAUAGUGUUCUUUUCCAAUAUUUCAAUGUUUAAAUGUCAUUUCUAUAUUUAAGCCUGUGUAUAUUUAAUUUGCAACGCUGUGUCAGUUAUUAAUACUGGAGAUUCUAAUCGCUUAGAAGUGUUCUUUCUAGGAAUCCCAGUAGUCUUCAUUAUGACAUUCAGAAUAAACUUUUAUUUUGUAAUAAUUUACUGAUAUAGUUUGCUUCUUGACUGCCAGCACUCAAACUGGAGAGUUAAUAUCUUUAAAGAUGCCUCAGGCACAGGCUCUGGAAACAGACAAGCUAGCCAGCCUCCACCACAUGUCCUGACACUACAAGCACAGCCUCUUUUCCUCCUGUGGCUACUGCCACUGCCAUUUUUGUUGCUUCUGUAGCCAUUGCUGCUUCCUAUCUGGGAGCAGGUCCUGCUUUGGCAGCCCCCUUGAAGCCCCAUGGUACCACAAACAUCCCCAAGGCAUUUGCUUGCAUGCAUUGCCAAUUGCUACGCAUUCGUCCUUCCCACUGGUC